ACGGAAGGCAGCAGUGGGGAAUAUUGGACAAUGGGGGAAACCCUGAACCAGCGACGCCGCGUGAGUGAAGAAGUAUUUCGGUAUGUAAAGCUCUAUCAGCAAGGAAGAAAAUGACGGUACUUGACUAAGAAGCUCCGGCUAAAUACGUGCCAGCAGCCGCGGUAAUACGUAUGGAGCAAGCGUUAUCCGGAUUUACUGGGUGUAAAGGGAGCGUAGACGGCAAAGCAAGUCUGAAGUGAAAUCCCGGGGCUCAACCCCGGAACUGCUUUGGAAACUGUUUAGCUAGAGUGCAGGAGAGGUAAGCGGAAUUCCUAGUGUAGCGGUGAAAUGCGUAGAUAUUAGGAGGAACACCAGUGGCGAAGGCGGCUUACUGGACUGUAACUGACGUUGAGGCUCGAAAGCGUGGGGAGCAAACAGGAUUAGAUACCCUGGUA
rnacentral:rRNA from 1 species